UCCCUUAUGGCUUACUUGGUAAAGAAUCCACCUGCAAUGUGGGAGACCUGGGUUCGAUCCCUGGGGUGGGAA
rnacentral:tRNA from 1 species